rnacentral:rRNA from 1 species
AGAGAGAGACAUGCGCGCAUAUCAAUAAGCGGAGGAAAAGAAACUACAAGGAUUCCCCUAGUAACGGCGAGUGAAGCGGGAAGAGCUCGAAUUUGAAAUCUUAAAGGGUUUCCCUUUACGAAUUGUAGUUUAAAGAAGUGUUUUCUGUUGAGGUUUUGGUAAAAGUUCUUUGGAAUAGGACAUCAUAGAGGGUGAGAAUCCCGUAUUUGACCUUUACUUUCAACUUUGUGAUACACUUUCAAAGAGUCGGAUUGUUUGGGAAUGCAGUCCAAAAUGGGUGGUAAAUUUCAUCUAAAGCUAAAUAUUGGCGAGAGACCGAUAGCGAACAAGUACCGUGAGGGAAAGAUGAAAAGAACUUUGAAAAGAGAGUUAAACAGUACGUGAAAUUGUCAAAAGGGAAGCGUUUGACACCAGUGUUGUUUUUCUGAAAAUCAAUUAAAGAACUGUUUAUGCUAAGCUGUUUAGACUUUAUCAGCUAACUGUUUAGUUUUGAGCUUUUCUUUAAUGCACUUUUCAGUUAACAAGUCAACAUCAAUUUCUUUUGCUGUAAAAAAGCUUGAGGAAGGUGGCUUGAGAUUCGUCUUAAGUGUUUAUAGCCUCUUGCCUAUGCAGUCGGAGAGAUUGAGGUCUGCAGCGUAGAUCCUUCGGGGCUAAAUGCAUUUGUGCUAAGUUAUAGCAUUUUAUAGACAACUUGUUGACUAUGAUUUGUCUUGUAGCUUACUCGCUUAUGUUAUUUUACCUACGCUUAGGAUGUUGAGCGCAUGUCUCUCUCU